rnacentral:rRNA from 1 species
UACGUAGGUGUCGAGCGGUGUCCUGAUUUACUGGGAGUAAAGCGCCCGCAGGCGGCCAGGCAAGUCCAGGGUGAAGUCUCCCGGCUCAACCGGGAGGGUGCCCUGGAAACUGCCCGGCUUGAGGCAGGGAGAGGGAUGUGGAAUUCCCGGUGUAGUGGUGAAAUGCGUAGAUAUCGGGAGGAACACCAGUGGCGAAGGCGGCAUCCUGGCCCUGUCCUGACGCUCAGGGGCGAAAGCGUGGGGAGCAAACCGG